rnacentral:rRNA from 1 species
UGGAAGUAAAAGUCGUAACAAGGUCUCCGU